CGCCAGCAGCCGCGGUAAUACGGAGGGUGCAAGCGUUGUUCGGAAUUACUGGGCGUAAAGCGCGUGUAGGCGGUUGGGCAAGUCAGAUGUGAAAGCCUUCUGCUUAACAGAAGAAGUGCAUUUGAAACUACCCGGCUAGAGUACGAGAGAGGAGAGUGGAAUUCCCGGUGUAGAGGUGAAAUUCGUAGAUAUCGGGAGGAACACCAGUGGCGAAGGCGGCUCUCUGGCUCGAUACUGACGCUGAGACGCGAAAGCGUGGGGAGCAAACAGGAUUAGAUACCCUGGUAGUCCACGCCCUAAACGAUGGGCACUAGGUGUAGGAGGUAUUGACCCCUUCUGUGCCGAAGCUAACGCAUUAAGUGCCCCGCCUGGGGAGUACGGCCGCAAGGCUAAAACUUAAAUAAAUUGACGGC
rnacentral:rRNA from 1 species